CAUACAUAUACACGUAUUUACGAGAACUUUUACUACUAGAUUAAUCACUGAAGAAACCCAGUAAAUGAUCGGAGAGGAUUGUCGGGUCGGCCUCGCACUUUGCAAUGAAUCGUUCCAGCAGUCGAACUCUCUCCAAACUUUACUUUUGCAUUGAAUGGUAUCGUGAUAUGGGGGAAGAAAUUUUGGAGAAUGUGAAGGUUUUACAGUAAGCAAAUGAUAUGGAUUAUUUUCCGUUAUGAUUUGUUCUGAAAAGACGGUAACAGAGUUUGAUGUGUUGAACUAAUUACUGACCCACUUUUCGUAGCUUAUAGAC
rnacentral:lncRNA from 1 species